CAGGUCCACCCAGUACGACCCCUCCUCCCUCCUUGACAAAGGUGAUGUGCGCAAAUGUGUUCGAUUCUUUGAUGAACACAAUCGAUUUUUUCAAGCUUGCCGAGUGUGAAUUGUACAAACAUCGAAGGAUUCAGCAGUGAUGAGCAGCACGGGACGGUCAUCCCCUAAUACCGAAGACAUCCACGAGCAAACAUGUGGGGAGAGCUGGAGAACAAGACCGAUCUGUGGCGCGACGGAAACGCCUCUCUAAAGGUCAUUUCUGAGCAGCUGUGGGUCUCUGUCACUGACACGCUGAGCAAUGGCUCUACACCCAGGCCUCAAGCCCCUGGCACCGACGUUCCAUCGGAAAGAGAGAGCGGAAUCGUUCCAGGUAUCAUAGCAGCAGCAGUGUUUAUCAGCUUCCUGUUGGCCCUGUAUGCUGUUCUGUGGAAAUGCAUGGUGGCUGCGCCUAAGAGUUUCAGGCAGGAGGAGAAGAAGAAGAGGAGAGAGAGAGCUCGUGCACAGAGGGGUCAUGUGUGCUGAAGGUCAGGACCACAUCAGAAGGGGCACAGUUUGGGAUUUUGGGAUGAGGUCACGGCGAGAGCCUGGCUGCUGGUUCGCCGUGGUGCUGGAGCUCGCCGGUUUGAUGGACAGAGGCCCGGGGUGGGCGGAGCUUUGAAUCCUCCUGCUCUGAAGUCUGUAUGGCAGCUUAAGGCUGCUGCCUUCUGGGACAGCCUGUCCUCCAGGACACACAUCCAAUGAGGAGGGGGACCCUGUCCAACUGUUCACAAACUACUGGAACUUGCACAAGAGCAUUUUAGCAAUGUGGAUUAAACGUGACAUUUCCUGCAAAUUUAUCAAAUACCAUAGAUGGAACAAAGGUUUGCCCACGUGCAUGGCACUCAUGGGAAUUUGUAUGUAUAUAUGUACCUCUUUGUUGCUGAAACUUACAUCUGUAUUGUUGCAGGGAUUUGGAAAAAAAAAACUUUUUAUAUAAUUCCACAUAUGGAACAAAGAUUUGCAAAUGUGAAUGCGUUCGUUGAAAUUUUUGACUGUGGCUCAGGGAUUCUGAGGAGCAUGUAAAAUUUUUUAAGAUGCUAAGAGUGUACCUCUGUUCUAGGAUGAAGGAGUUGCCAACUUUUGUAUCAGAGUUUUCCCACAGGGAAGAUAGGAGCAAUACAAAUUAGGAUGUUCAAGGAUAGCCAGGAUAUUAAUAUCCAGAGAAUGAUCUCAUAUGGGUUUUGUGGGGUACUCAUGUUGAAAGGUUGGUUUGUUAUAAUGCACCUGCAUUCAUCCUAGAAGUUUAUUUUAUCAUAUCGUGUGGUGUGCAUGCUGUUUCAGUAUGAACGUGUAAAUGAAACUACCAAACUUUAAGUGUAAUCAGACUGCAGAUUUGACUUCAUGACAUGCCUGAUGCCAAAUAAAAUUGACUACUGUU